rnacentral:rRNA from 1 species
AUUGAACGCUGGCGGCAUGCCUUACACAUGCAAGUCGAACGGCAGCACGGGAGCUUGCUCCUGGUGGCGAGUGGCGAACGGGUGAGUAAUACAUCGGAACGUACCCUGAAGUGGGGGGAUAACGUAGCGAAAGUUACGCUAAUACCGCAUAUUCUGUGAGCAGGAAAGAGGGGGAUCGCAAGACCUCUUGCUUUAGGAGCGGCCGAUGUCGGAUUAGCUAGUUGGUGAGGUAAAGGCUCACCAAGGCGACGAUCUGUAGCGGGUCUGAGAGGAUGAUCCGCCACACUGGGACUGAGACACGGCCCAGACUCCUACGGGAGGCAGCAGUGGGGAAUUUUGGACAAUGGGCGCAAGCCUGAUCCAGCCAUGCCGCGUGAGUGAAGAAGGCCUUCGGGUUGUAAGUACUCUUUCGGUUGGGGAAGGAAAUGGCACGGGUUAAGUACCCUACGUGUAG